rnacentral:ncRNA from 1 species
UACGAGGUAGAUAGGCUGGGGGUGGAAGUGCAGCAAUGCAUGGAGCUGACCAGUACUAAUCGGUCGAGGGCUUAUCCUA